rnacentral:rRNA from 1 species
AUGUGGGGCGGCGACGACGGAGGGACUCCGGAGGUCACCCUGGAGACCUCCAUGGGAUCCUUCACCGUCGAGAUGUACCACAAGCACGCGCCCAAGACCUGCAGGAACUUCGUCGAGCUCGCGCGCCGCAAAUACUACGACAACGUCGUCUUCCACCGCAUCAUCAAGGAUUUCAUCGUGCAAGGUGGGGAUCCUAGUGGAACAGGCAGGGGCGGCGAAUCCAUCUACGGAGCAAAAUUUGAGGACGAGAUAAAGCCAGAGCUGAAGCACACCGGGGCUGGGAUUCUAUCAAUGGCAAACGCUGGUCCGAAUACAAACGGAAGCCAGUUCUUCAUCACUCUUGCACCUUGUCAAUCACUGGAUGGUAAGCACACAAUUUUUGGGAGAGUAUGCAGAGGAAUGGAAAUUGUUAAGCGCCUUGGAAGUAUUCAGACCGACAAAAAUGAUAGGCCCAUCAAUGAAGUGAAAAUCCUGCGGACUGUUGUUAAAGAUUGA